AUUGAACGCUGGCGGCAUGCCUUACACAUGCAAGUCGAACGGUAACAGGUUAAGCUGACGAGUGGCGAACGGGUGAGUAAUGUAUCGGAACGUGCCCAGUCGUGGGGGAUAACUGCUCGAAAGAGCAGCUAAUACCGCAUACGACCUGAGGGUGAAAGCGGGGGAUCGCAAGACCUCGCGCGAUUGGAGCGGCCGAUAUCAGAUUAGGUAGUUGGUGAGGUAAAGGCUCACCAAGCCGACGAUCUGUAGCUGGUCUGAGAGGACGACCAGCCACACUGGGACUGAGACAAGGCCCAGACUCCUACGGGAGGCAGCAGUGGGGAAUUUUGGACAAUGGGCGCAAGCCUGAUCCAGCCAUGCCGCGUGCGGGAAGAAGGCCUUCGGGUUGUAAACCGCUUUUGUCAGGGAAGAAAAGGUUCUGGCUAAUACCUGGGACUCAUGACGGUACCUGAAGAAUAAGCACCGGCUAACUACGUG
rnacentral:rRNA from 1 species